AGGCCAAUCAAACCCGGAGAUAUCUCGUUCUCCCCGAAAUAGCUUUAGGGCUAGCGUCGCGCGUUCACCGCCGGAGGUAGAGCACCGGAUGGACGAGGGGGCUUCGCCGCCUACCGAAUCCAACCGAACUCCGAAUGCCGGCGGCCCAGAGCGCGGCAGUCAGAGCAUGUGGGCUAAGCUGUGUGCUCGAGAGGGAAACAGCCCGGACCGCCCGCUAAGGUCCCCAAGUUCCAGCCGAGUGGCAAAGGAUGUGCGUCCGCCCAGACAACCAGGAUGUUGGCUUAGAAGCAGCCAUCCAUUCAAAGAGUGCGUAACAGCUCACUGGUCGAGUGGACAUGCGCCGACAAUACACGGGGCUAAGCUGGACACCGAAGCGGCGGGAUUUUGAUUUUCAGAAUCGGUAGGGGAGCUUCCCAUGGGCGGAGAAGCCGGAGGGCGACCGACGGUGGAGCGCAUGGGAGUGAGAAUGCUGGCAUGAGUAGCGAGAGACGAGAGAGUAACUCGUCCGCCGUGAACCCGAGGUUUCCUGGGCAAGGCUAAUCCUCCCAGGGUCAGUCGGGGGCUAAGGCGAGGCCGGUAGGCGUAGCCGACGCGCAGCAGGCAGACAUUCCUGCACCGCGCACGCGGCGCUACGACCGACGGGGCGACGGAUGGGGGUGGCUCGGCGGGGUUCUGGACGUCCCCGUGAUGGAGCGCGGCCCGCGGACCAGGGAAAUCCGGUCCGCAUGCAGGGCGAGGCUCCGGACGAAGCGAUUGAGCGAAGCGAGUGAGCCCGAGGUCCCUAGAAAAACCCCUAGGCAGGCGCGUGCGCGCCCGUACCGCAAACCGACACAGGUGGGUGGGUAGAACAUACCGAGGCGAUCGGGUCAACCAUGGUCAAGGAACUCGGCACAAUGGCCCCGUAACUUCGGGAGAAGGGGUGCCCGCGCGUACGUGAACCGGCUCGCCCGGGGAGCGGAGGCGGGCCGCAGUGGAGAGGCCCAAGCGACUGUUUACCAAAAACACAGGACUCUGCAGAAGCCGCAAGGCGACGUAUAGGGUCUGACGCCUGCCCGGUGCCGGAAGGUCACGCGGAGGAGUUAGCGCAUCGCGCGAAGCCCCGAAGCCAAGCCCCGGUAAACGGCGGCCGUAACUAUAACGGUCCUAAGGUAGCGAAAUUCCUUGUCGGGUAAGUUCCGACCUGCACGAAAGGCGCAACGACUUGGGCGCUGUCUCGACCAUGGACCCGGUGAAAUUGCACUGGUCGUGAAGAUGCGACUUACCCGCGGAAGGACGGAAAGACCCCGUGAACCUUCACUGCAGCUUGGCAUUGGCCGCUGGUCCCGCGUGUAGAGGAUAGGCAGGAGGCUAGGAUCCGGAGGCGCCAGCCCCCGGGGAGCCGCCCUUGGAAUACUGCCCUCGCGCGACCGGCGUCCUAACCCGAGGCCGUCAACCGGCUCGGGGACCGUGCCAGGCGGGCAGUUUGACUGGGGCGGUCGCCUCCUAAAGGGUAACGGAGGCGCGCGAAGGUCCGCUCGGGACGGUCGGCAACCGUCCUUUUGAAUGCAAGAGUACAAGCGGGCUUGACUGCGAGGCCAACAAGCCGAGCAGGUGCGAAAGCAGGCUCUAGUGAUCCGGCGGCCCCGAGUGGGUGGGCCGUCGCUCAACGGAUAAAAGGUACUCCGGGGAUAACAGGCUGAUCUUGCCCAAGAGUCCACAUCGACGGCAAGGUUUGGCACCUCGAUGUCGGCUCAUCGCAUCCUGGGGCUG
rnacentral:rRNA from 1 species